GACGAACCGUGCGAACGUUAUUCGGAAUCACUGGGCUUAAAGCGCGUGUAGGCGGGACGGCACGUCGGUCGCUGAAAGCCCCGGGCUCAACCUGGGAACUGCAUUUGAGACUGGAGAGCUUGAGUUCGGGAGAGGGUGGUGGAAUUCCGGGUGUAGUGGUGAAAUGCGUAGAUAUCGGGAGGAACACCUGUGGCGAAAGCGGCUCACUGGACCACAACUGACGCUGAUGCGCGAAAGCUAGGGGAGCAAACAGG
rnacentral:rRNA from 1 species